UACAGAGGCCCCAAGCGUUAUCCGGAAUUAUUGGGCGUAAAGGGUGUCAAGGCGGUCAUAUUAGUCGUGUGUGAAAUCCUGGAGCUCAACUCCAGAACUGCCUUCGAUACUGGAGAGCUUGAGUCCGGGAGAGGUGAGUGGAACUGCGAGUGUAGAGGUGAAAUUCGUAGAUAUCGGAAGGAACAUCAGUGGCGAAAGCGACUUCCUGGACCAGUACCGACGUUCAGGCACGAAAGCGUGGGAGCAAACAGG
rnacentral:rRNA from 1 species